AGAGUUUGAUCCUGGCUCAGGAUGAACGCUGGCGGUAUGCUUAACACAUGCAAGUCGAACGGUGUCUUCGGACACAGUGGCGGACGGGUGAGUAACGCGUGAGAAUCUGCCUCUAGGUUGGGGACAACAGUUGGAAACGACUGCUAAUACCCAAUGUGCCGUAUGGUGAAAGAUUUAUUGCCUGGAGAGGAGCUCGCGUCUGAUUAGCUAGUUGGUGAGGUAAAGGCUUACCAAGGCAUCGAUCAGUAGCUGGUCUGAGAGGAUGAGCAGCCACACUGGGACUGAGACACGGCCCAGACUCCUACGGGAGGCAGCAGUGGGGAAUUUUCCGCAAUGGGCGAAAGCCUGACGGAGCAAUACCGCGUGAGGGAGGAAGGCCUUUGGGUUGUAAACCUCUUUUCUCAGGGAAGAAGAUCUGACGGUACCUGAGGAAUAAGCAUCGGCUAACUCCGUGCCAGCAGCCGCGGUAAUACGGAGGAUGCAAGCGUUAUCCGGAAUCAUUGGGCGUAAAGCGUCCGCAGGUGGUUUUUCAAGUCUGCUGUUAAAGACUGGAGCUCAACUCCGGAAAGGCAGUGGAAACUGAGAAACUAGAGUUCGGUAGGGGUAGCGGGAAUUCCCAGUGUAGCGGUGAAAUGCGUAGAUAUUGGGAAGAACAUCGGUGGCGAAGGCGCGCUACUGGACCGAAACUGACACUCAGGGACGAAAGCUAGGGUAGCGAAAGGGAUUAGAUACCCCUGUAGUCCUAGCUGUAAACGAUGGAAACUAGGUGUGGCUUGUAUCGACCCGAGCCGUGCCGUAGCUAACGCGUUAAGUUUCCCGCCUGGGGAGUACGCACGCAAGUGUGAAACUCAAAGGAAUUGACGGGGGCCCGCACAAGCGGUGGAGUAUGUGGUUUAAUUCGAUGCAACGCGAAGAACCUUACCAGGGCUUGACAUGUCGCAAAUCUUGGUGAAAGCUGAGAGUGCCUUCGGGAGCGCGAACACAGGUGGUGCAUGGCUGCCGUCAGCUCGUGUCGUGAGAUGUUGGGUUAAGUCCCGCAACGAGCGCAACCCUCGUCUUUAGUUGCCAGCAUUAAGUUGGGCACUUUAGAGAGACUGCCGGUGACAAACCGGAGGAAGGUGGGGAUGACGUCAAGUCAGCAUGCCCCUUACGCCCUGGGCUACACACGUACUACAAUGGUUGGGACAAAGGGCAGCAAACCCGCGAGGGUAAGCGAAUCUCAUCAAACCCAGCCUCAGUUCAGAUUGCAGGCUGCAACUCGCCUGCAUGAAGGAGGAAUCGCUAGUAAUCGCAGGUCAGCAUACUGCGGUGAAUUCGUUCCCGGGCCUUGUACACACCGCCCGUCACACCAUGGAAGCUGGUCACGCCCGAAGUAGUUACCCUAACCUUUCGGGGGGGGGGACUCCUAAGGCAGGGCUAGUGACUGGGGUGAAGUU
rnacentral:rRNA from 1 species